rnacentral:rRNA from 1 species
GACGUAGGAUGCAAGCGUUGUCCGGAUUUAUUGGGCGUAAAGAGUUCGUAGGCUGUUUGUUAAGUCUGAUGUUAAAGACUGGGGCUCAACCUCGGAAAUGCAUUGGAUACUGGCAGACUGGAGUGCAGUAGAGGCUAGUGGAAUUCCCAGUGUAGCGGUGAAAUGCGUAGAUAUUGGGAAGAACACCGGUGGCGUAGGCGGCGUCCUGGGCCGAUACUGACGCUGAGGAGCGAAAGCGUGGGGAGCGAACAGG